rnacentral:rRNA from 1 species
GACGAACGCUGGCGGCGUGCUUAACACAUGCAAGUCGAACGGUAAGGCCCUUCGGGGUACACGAGUGGCGAACGGGUGAGUAACACGUGGGUGAUCUGCCCUGCACUUCGGGAUAAGCCUGGGAAACUGGGUCUAAUACCGGAUAGGACCACUGCCUGCAUGGGUGGUGGUGGAAAGCUUUUGCGGUGUGGGAUGGGCCCGCGGCCUAUCAGCUUGUUGGUGGGGUGAUGGCCUACCAAGGCGACGAGGGGUAGCCGGCCUGAGAGGGUGACCGGCAACACGGGGACGGAGAGAGGGCGCAGACUCCUGCGGGAGGCAGCAGUGGGGAAUAGUGGACAAUGGGCGCAAGCCUGAUGCGGCGACGCCGCGUGAGGGAUGACGGCCUUCGGGUUGUAAACCUCUUUCAGCACCGACGAAGCGCAAGUGACGGUAGGUGCAGAAGAAGGACCGGCCAACUACGUGCCAGCCGCCGCAGUAA